rnacentral:rRNA from 1 species
GACGAACGCUGGCGGCGUGCCUAAUACAUGCAAGUUGAGCGCUGAAGGUUGGUACUUGUACCGACUGGAUGAGCAGCGAACGGGUGAGUAACGCGUGGGGAAUCUGCCUUUGAGCGGGGGACAACAUUUGGAAACGAAUGCUAAUACCGCAUAAAAACUUUAAACACAAGUUUUAAGUUUGAAAGAUGCAAUUGCAUCACUCAAAGAUGAUCCCGCGUUGUAUUAGCUAGUUGGUGAGGUAAAGGCUCACCAAGGCGAUGAUACAUAGCCGACCUGAGAGGGUGGUCGGCCCCAUUGGGACUGAGACACGGCCCAAACUCCUACGGGAGGCAGCAGUAGGGAAUCUUCGGCAAUGGACGGAAGUCUGACCGGGCAACGCCGCGUGAGUGAAGAAGGUUUUCGGAUCGUAAAACUCUGUUGGUAGAGAAGAACGUUGGUGGGAGUGGAAAGCUCAUCAAGUGACGGUACCUACCCAGAAAGGGACGGCUAACUACGUG